UGAGCAAUCUGCCCCUGACUCUGGGAUAACAGUUGGAAACAGCUGCUAAUACCGGAUACGAGCUGCGAAGGCAUCUUCAGCAGCUGGAAAGAACUUCGGUCAGGGAUGAGCUCGCGGCCUAUCAGCUAGUUGGUGAGGUAAUGGCUCACCAAGGCGUCGACGGGUAGCCGGCCUGAGGAGGGUGACCGGCCACACGUGGGACUGAGACACGGCA
rnacentral:rRNA from 1 species